rnacentral:lncRNA from 10 species
CUGAGUCUGUCUUAAUACCAUCUAGAAGCAGCAGCCUUGCAGAAGGAGGCCAAGGCAGCUAGUCAGCAGGGUCCUGGUGAUUGAUCCAGUGACAUCCCUGACAAACUUCACAUUCCUGGCUCUUACAAACAGCUAUGGUGCCGGUUCUGAAGAUGCAGCUUCUACUAAGCAAAAGUUUGAGGAGCCAGAGGAAAGCAGAGUUAAGAUCAAACUGGAAGAUCAUGGCUCUUAGGGCUGCAACAAAACAAAAUCCCCAGGAUGCAAAUCCUGUCAGUAAUGAUGCACACAGGCACCCACGACUCCUACAAAGCUGAGGAUGAGGUGUGGCCUUGGCUGACUGACAAGAACGCUCUGGUCUUGUUUCUGAAAACGUUUGUGCCAAGAGAAGAAAAUUCCUCCCUCCUGGAAGCCCUGCCUGUCUCCUCUGUGCUUCAGUCAUCUGCUAUUUAUCCUGUGUGGCUGAAACAGACUUUCUCAUACCUUUGUCCUAAAGGAAUGAGUCUUUGACACCUGAACAAAUUUGAGGCUUUAAGCAAUACUUUAAACAACGAAGUGUUCUCCCAGAUAUCACUAUAAUCUCCGGGGUAGCAGGCUAGUCUGGCCUAAAUGCCAGAUUUCUGAAUAUUUAUUUCACAGUCUCUGUUCCUACUAUUUCGUAGUCUCUGCUCCUCCUCCUGCCCCCAUUAUGCCUUGGCAUGAAGAGCAAAAACUUUCAGAGGUUGUGAGGAGGAGAAGCAACCACCUGCUCCAGGUACUCAGUAUUCAAAGAUACGGAAUGACUAACAGUGAUGCCAUUAAUUCCAAAGCCACUUUCCAUAAAAUUUUAGGUUUGCCAAGACACUUUUGCUGUCAUAGUGUCCCAAACACUGAGCAAAUAAAGAAUGUGUCCUGGCCGGGAGCGGUGGCUCACGCCUGUAAUCCCAGCACUUUGGGAAGCUGACGCAGGCAGAUCACCUGAGGUCAGGAGUUUGAAUCCAGCUUGGUCAACAUGGUGAAACCACAUCUCUACUAAAAACACAAAAAUUAGCCAGGCAUAGUGGCAGAUGCCUGUAAUCCCAGCUACUCAGGAGGCUGAGGCAGGAGAAUCACUUGAAACCGGGAAGCAGAGGUUGCAGUGAGCAGAGAUCAUGCCAAUGCACUCCAGCCUGGGCAACAGAGCAAGACUCCUCAAAAAAAAAAAAAAAAGAAAAAAUAUGUACUAAUCCAUCUUUCUCUGGUGAUGACACACUCUUGACCCACAGAAUGUUUCUCCAUCUGUGUAAAUUGGCGACCUUUGUGGCACUGGGCUUGGCAUCUGGCAGCUUCUUUCUGGUGGAUAGCCAUACAUCUAAAGUGAGACAGGAUGUCCCUGACUCCUCCGCCCUCUCCAGUUUCUUGUCUGGAGAAACCAGGAGCCCUCCCACUUCCUGGCAUUUCCUCUCUGCUCCUGGUAAAGGCUCUUGAGCCAAGCACGUGGUGUGUCUGUCCCCAGGCUGUGAGCCCAGGGAAAGAAAGCUUGCAAGGCAGAGGAUAAUAUCCUUAAAGGCUUGAAAAGGAGGGAGGUGCUGACAUCCCCCCAGAAUACUGGUAUUCCUAUCUAUGGCACAGGAACCCCGGCUUCUCCCACUACCUUCCUGUAGAAGGCAGUGUCGCAGAAUGGCUGUAAGCACAGGUUUUGGAAUGAGAAAAGCUGGCAUGGACAAGUUAUGUAUUAUCUGAACCCAAUUUCCUCAUUCGUAAUUACUCUGACAACCUUUUGCAAGGAUUAAAUGAAGUAGUAAAUGUAAAAUACACAGCAUAGUGCCUGGCAUGUAACAAUAGCCAGUAAGUGGUAGCAGUUUUAUAAUAAAGGUUUAUUGCUCCAGGCAAAAGAUCAUAAAGUCUGUUGGAUGGAUUCUGUGUUGACCCUAAGGAACAAAUUGCUGCUGCUGCAGAAACCAGAGGAACAGGUAAAAGAUGUUGCUGGGACAGGUUUCUGAAGAUGCCUGGAUUUAUAAUUGCUAAUAUAUACAGGCAUAUACAUAGUUUUCAAGCAUUACAUGGGAUGAUGAAGCUCUGGCUGGUUUUUAGGGGGAAAAAAGUUCUCCCAGAACAAUUACAACA